UACGUAGGUCCCGAGCGUUGUCCGGAUUUAUUGGGCGUAAAGCGAGCGCAGGUGGUUUAAUAAGUCUGAUGUAAAAGGCAGUGGCUCAACCAUUGUGUGCAUUGGAAACUGUUAGACUUGAGUGCAGUAGAGGAGAGUGGAAUUCCAUGUGUAGCGGUGAAAUGCGUAGAUAUAUGGAGGAACACCGGUGGCGAAAGCGGCUCUCUGGACUGUAACUGACACUGAGGCUCGAAAGCGUGGGUAGCAAACUGG
rnacentral:rRNA from 1 species